UGACACUGAUGAACCCUAUCCCGAAACUGAUCCAUCUUCUGAUGAGACAAUCUACGGAUCUGAUUACUGAGUU